rnacentral:rRNA from 1 species
CAGCAGCCGCGGGAAUACGGAGGGGGCUAGCGUUGUUCGGAAUUACUGGGCGUAAAGCGCACGUAGGCGGCUUGGUAAGUUAGAGGUGAAAGCCCGGAGCUCAACUCCGGAAUUGCCUUUAAGACUGCCGAGCUAGUAGGUGAGAGAGGUAAGUGGAAUUCCGAGUGUAGAGGUGAAAUUCGUAGAUAUUCGGAAGAACACCAGUGGCGAAGGCGGCUUACUGGCUCAUUCUAGACGCUGAGGUGCGAAAGCGUGGGGAGCAAACAGGAUUAGAUACCCCGGUAGUCCCUGUCUCUUAUAC